rnacentral:rRNA from 1 species
GGAAUAUUCGUCAAUGGGGGAAACCCUGAACGAGCAAUGCCGCGUGAGUGAUGACGGUCUUUAUGAUUGUAAAACUCUGUUGUUAGGGAAGAAACCUUAUCAUAGGAAAUGAUGAUAAGCUGACGGUACCUUUCCAGAAAGCCCCGGCUAACUACGUGCCAGCAGCCGCGGUAAUACGUAGGGGGCGAGCGUUAUCCGGAUUUAUUGGGCGUAAAGCGUGUGUAGGCGGUUUGUUAAGUAUAAGAUUAAAGCCUGAGGCUCAACCUCAGUUCGUCUUAUAAACUGGCAGACUUGAGUAUGGUAGAGGCAAGUGGAAUUUCUAGUGUAGCGGUUAAAUGCGUAGAUAUUAGAAGGAACACCAGUGGCGAAGGCGGCUUGCUGGGCCAUUACUGACGCUGAGACACGAAAGCGUGGGGAGCAAAUAGGG